rnacentral:sRNA from 1 species
CAUCUGCAACCGCACGUUUUAAGUUUAAGUAUCUCUUUAGAGGUCACUACAUUACGGCGAGUCUAAGUAUUU